rnacentral:rRNA from 1 species
UACGGAGGGUGCAAGCGUUAUCCGGAUUCACUGGGUUUAAAGGGUGCGUAGGUGGGUUGGUAAGUCAGUGGUGAAAUCUCCGAGCUUAACUUGGAAACUGCCAUUGAUACUAUUAGUCUUGAAUAUUGUGGAGGUCAGCGGAAUAUGUCAUGUAGCGGUGAAAUGCUUAGAGAUGACAUAGAACACCAAUUGCGAAGGCAGCUGGCUACACAUAUAUUGACACUGAGGCACGAAAGCGUGGGGAUCAAAC